CCUACGGGAGGCAGCAGUGGGGAAUAUUGGGCAAUGGAGGAAACUCUGACCCAGCGACGCCGCGUGCGGGAUGAAGGCCUUCGGGUUGUAAACCGCUUUCAGUAGGGAAGAAGCGAAAGUGACGGUACCUACAAAAGAAGCACCGGCUAACUAUGUGCCAGCAGCCGCGGUAAUACAUAGGGUGCAAGCGUUGUCCGGAAUUAUUGGGCGUAAAGAGCUCGUAGGUCGUUUGUUACGUCGGAUGUGAAAACCUGAGGCUCAACCUCAGGCCUGCAUUCGAUACGGGCAAACUAGAGUUUGGUAGGGGAGACUGGAAUUCCUGGUGUAGCGGUGGAAUGCGCAGAUAUCAGGAGGAACACCAAUGGCGAAGGCAGGUCUCUGGGGCCAAUACUGACACUGAGGAGCGAAAGUCUGGGGAGCGAACAGGAUUAGAUACCCUGGUAGUCCAGACCGUAAACGGUGGGACACUAGUUGUGGGAACCUUCCACGGUUUCUGCGACGCAGCUAACGCAUUAAGUGCCCCGCCUGGGGAGUACGAUCGCAAGAUUAAAACUCAAAUGAAUUGACGG
rnacentral:rRNA from 1 species